AAAGGGGAACGAGUGGUGCUAUAGUGAAUAUCUCAACAACUGUUAGCAAAAUUGCUUCUGCUGGCCGAAUGCCUUACAGUGAGUAUUUCCCUGCACUGCCACCUGCAUUUUUAGAUCAUAUUAUCGAGGUAGAUAACAGGUAGGAGUAAACCCUUUUCGAUUGAGAUCCUUCAGAUCUAUAAAGCGGAAUACCCAUGCUUUAUUCAGCUGUAUUCGUGUAUUGAUUCCCACUUAAUAAAGGCGUGUGCAUGGUCAAAGGACGUUGCUGGCCUGAUGUGGGGCGGGGAUGGCGGGGAGAGAUAUUAGGGAGCUUAAGCAUGUAGGACGGCAACACGACGACGACGCGUCGUCGUCGUCGUGUGCCAUCCUACAUACUUAAGCUCCCUAAUAUAUACUCGAUAAAAGCGUGAUACAGUGCAUGAUACAGUGCGAAAAUAUUUCAAUUGUUAUAAAUUUUUUUUACAAUUUUAUGACGAAUCUUUUAUCAAUGAUUAGUACCCAGUAAAAGCUAAAUUUCAAUAGGUUUUAUCUGCUAUAUAUUUAGCUAUGACCAAAGCUGCGAUGAAUAACGCUACUAUGGCGAUGGCAGUAGAACUGGCUAAACACAAGGUUGGUUAACUGAAAUUCGUUCAAUUUAUCAUAAGUCCUCUAUUAACCUCUAGUAUAAGUUGUGACUAAAAAACAAAUUGGCUGUUUAAUUGGAAUUAAUUGUAACCCGCAGGCAUGCAAAAAUAGGUAAGUGUGGUCGUCAACGGCGGGUGUGAAUGCUAUACGAGUUUGAUGCGUUCGCACGCUUCGGUGAUAUCCGAAGUAAUUUACGAUAAAUGAGAAGCACUGAUCGUGAUAGUUAGUUGACUCAGUUUUUUCGUUGGGAUAUACAUCGGCACACGCAAGGAAAGAAACAAGGAUUUACAGAUUGAAGUUAUCGGUUUCUUUAUAGCACAGUGUUACAAGUCAAAAUCUUUUCCACGGGUUCAUCAAUUUCGAGUUUUCGCCCCUCUUACCCCCACCCUAUCGACAAAUAUUAUUCAGGAACGUUGGCAAACGCAGUACAUACACGAGUGGGUUUACAGCAUAAUUGACGUAAAAUGCACAAGUUAAGGAUUUGAAUUCGUGCUUUCCUCGAUCCAGUUAAUUUAAUAGUUCAGUUGGUAGAGCGGUGGGAUUUUUUACUGAUUGAAAUUCUCGACUCUCGUGUACUUAAAUAUAUAAAGACUUGAAUUUGUGUUCUCCCAACUAACUCGAUAUCGAAGUGUCAGCGUUGCAGUUUGGGUGUUAUUGAUUAACUAUGGCAGAGAACAAUAUUACUACAACAGUCAGCAACGAAUUCACGUACAGCGUUGUGCCAAUGAUUAUCAUAAUUUGUAUUCUCGGAGUAGCUUUCAAUCUAUUACUUCUUGUUGCUUUUAUUAAAGAUCCUCACAAAUGCUUCAGAAACUCAGGAACAUAUCUUGUAAUGAACCUGGCAGUUUCCGACUGUCUAAUGUGUUUAUUUAUUCCAUGUUACACACUUUACAGCAUCAAAGGAAUGACUGGUCGGCAACGGAUUUUUGGAUUUCUCGUAAGGUGGUUCGGAAUGUCCUCUUUGUAUCGAUUGGUUCAAUAUCGAUCGAUCGUUUUUUAAUGGUCGCUUAUCCGAUAAAACAUCGCGUUUUGAUCAGAGGUAAAAUUAUAGUCUUGUGGCUCGCAGCAAUUUGGAUAGCAAGUUGUGUACCUUCUGUAUUAAGAUUCUUCUCCCAUGGUCGUAAGAAUGAACUGAUGGAGAAAAACAUCUACACCAUUUGUGUCAUUAUUGUUGUAUUCUCCGCAGUUAUGUACGCUGCCACAUAUUACCAAUUGAAAAAACAGUCGAGGAACAUAGCUUUACAAAAUUCAAACGAUAGUCGUGCACAAGAGAUAAGAAUACUUAAAGAAAAGCGAUUUUUAAAGACAAUCGUUAUCAUAGCAUGUAUCGCUUUCAUUUGUGUUGUGCCUUCUGCGAUAUUCUAUCAGUUCUACAAUGCCGAAGUUCUGGGUCUCUUCAGAGGCAAUUUGAUCUCUGAGAUUUUAAGAAAAAUAUUUGCUUCCAUUUUUAAUAAACUUUUGUGAACCCAUUAAUUUAUGUCGUACGUUUGCCAAACUAUCGGAAAACAUUUUAUUUGCUGUAUUGCAAAAGAGUUGAGAGAUAUUCUUGAGGGUACAAGGUAGUUUGCAUGUAUACUUUCCUUAUUUAGUAUAUUCUUGUAAAUAUAAUAAUAUAGUAUAGUAAUAGUUUGUACUUUUUUGUUUAUGUAGAUAUAGAUGCACGAUUUCAGGAGCGGUCACUUGACAAACAGUUUGUUACUAACUACAUGAUAGACUACAGUUGUUAAAUAUUUGUUAAAUAUUAAAUGCCUUUAAUUGUGACCACUGAUGAGCAACAGUCUAGCUAGGAUUUGGGAUUUGACUGUUAUUGUUUUUU
rnacentral:lncRNA from 1 species